CUCUCCAACGCCACUCCCUGCAAACUAGUUGCAGCCUCUUUGGCCACCAUGAGGAAGCCAUCACAGGCCAACCACCCCAAUCCCUCCCUCGGCCCUCACUCCCUCAAUGUUGCCAUCUCCUCUCUCUCUCUCUCUCUCUCUCUCUCUCUCUCUCUCUCUCUCUCAACUGCCUCCAUGACGUGAUGCCACCACCACCUCCUCUCAUCCCUCUCGGUUUCACUCUCCCUCUCUCAGAUCUCUCUCCCUUCCCUUCUCUUCUCCAUCUGUCUCUCUAGACUAGGACUCUGCCACCGCCAUACUCCACGACAUGACAUCGUGGUCUCAGAUGGCUCCUCUGUGUCCCUUUCUCACUUUCCCCACAUCGAUCAACCCACAUCAACCCCAACACCUCCCUCAACACUCUGUUUGUCUUCCUCUCUCAGUAGUUGUCUGUGAGCCACUGCAAGUUGGUAACGCCACCACGGUCUCCUCUCCCUUGAUGUGAGCCUUCCACCAUGAGACCCAACUAAGGCCCCCAACACCAACAACCCAAUUCUUUUGUGCCUAGACCGAAAUCUCGAUUUAUGGGAGACAGUGGUGGGGGGAGCUUUCAUUUCUAUAAUCGAAGUUAUUCCAGCAUCGAUGAUGGGACCCAGCUUUGAUAACAAUAAGCUGCACGUACGAGACCCAUCAUGUAGAAUAUAUAUAAUAGUGAUCUUAGCCAUACAGUCACACAUUAGGUUGUAAGAUAUACGAGUUUUUCAGCUGAACUUUUAAGGGUAAGGGAGAACUUGCAUGGUGAGAAAUUGUAGUUUAGGAUUAUAGGCAUCGAUUACAGCGUUUUCCUUUGUAUGGAGAAUAGAAUUUUGAUCUUUCAACCAUAUGCACAAUGUUAGAAAAGAAUUUACUGA